AGCGAACGCUGGCGGCAGGCUUAACACAUGCAAGUCGAACGCCCGUAGCAAUACGGGAGUGGCAGACGGGUGAGUAACGCGUGGGAACAUGCCCUUUGGUUCGGAAUAACUCAGGGAAACUUGAGCUAAUACCGGAUAAGCCCGAGAGGGGAAAGAUUUAUCGCCGAAGGAUUGGCCCGCGUCCGAUUAGCUAGUUGGUGAGGUAAUGGCUCACCAAGGCGACGAUCGGCAGCUGGUCUGAGAGGAUGAUCAGCCACACUGGGACUGAGGCACGGCCCAGGCUCCUACGAGAGGCAGCAGUGGGGAAUAUUGGACAAUGGGGGCAACCCUGACCCAGCCAUACCGCGUGAGUGAUCAAGGCCCUAGUGUUGUAAAGCUCUUUCGGCGGGGACGAUAAUGACGGUACCCGCAGAAGAAGCCCCGGCUAACUUCGUGCCAGCAGCCGCCGUAACAC
rnacentral:rRNA from 1 species